GUAUAAAAAAGAAUCUCCCGCCCUAUAUGAUUUUUGUUUUUAGUUUUGAGAUCCCAGGAGGGGAGGCCACUUGGAAACUCGAGGAUGAGCCUGGUUGUAUCAAUCUUGAAGGUGAAACUCUUUGAAGGCGGGAGGCUGUGAGGCGGCGCCCAGUCGGGCCAGCUUGGACCAAGCCCGUCCAAGUCAAAGAAGGUGGACAUGCACGC
rnacentral:lncRNA from 1 species